CGAUUCUCCAGCAGGGGACUUCCUAAGGCUACACAUGUCUGACGGAUCAACAGUGUGCACAACAUGCAGGUUUUUGUACAGCCAGUUAAUCAGACUGAAUCACUGUGGUGGACUUUCGGUGGCGGGACCAAACUGGAAGUCGGCAGUGACACAGUCCCCGCCCUUACAGUCCUGCCCCCCUCCAGUGUGGAGGUGAAGCAGGGGAAGGCCACACUGGUGUGUCUGGCCAACAAGGGCUUCCCGUCAGACUGGACUCUGCGCUGGAAAGUGGACGGUACCAGUAGGAGCUCGGGCGUGGCCGGGAGCGCCGGGGUCCUGGGGAAGGACGGCCUGUACAGCUGGAGCAGCUCCCUGACUCUCAGUGCGGAUGACUGGAUGAAGGCGGGGUCACUGACCUGUGAGGCCACAAAGGGCUCCCAGGCUGCCCCCCCUCAGACACUGAGGAGAGCUGACUGUGCUGAGUAGGGCGGGUGCAGGCCCAGCUCACACACUCUGAUCACACUGUGUUUACCCUGCUCUGCUCUCAGCCUCUCUGCUCCUUACUGCUGCACACUGAGCUGGGCCUGUGUGUGAAUCCUUCCUCCAGCCUGAGCUGUCACUGCUAAUGUCUCACAUGUGCUCUGCUUGUGUCCUCAACAAAUAUGCAUACCUGCCUUCUUAUUUGUGUUUGUGU